GGGGCCGUAGCUCAGCUGGGAGAGCGCAACGCUGGCAGUGUUGAGGUCGUCGGUUCGAUCCCGAUCGGCUCCACCA
rnacentral:tRNA from 3 species